rnacentral:rRNA from 1 species
GACGAACGCUGGCGGCGUGCUUAACACAUGCAAGUCGAACGAAGAGCGAUGGAGGCUUGCUUCUAUCAAUCUUAGUGGCGAACGGGUGAGUAACGCGUAAUCAACCUGCCCUUCAGAGGGGGACAACAGUUGGAAACGACUGCUAAUACCGCAUACGAUCUAAUCUCGGCAUCGAGGAUAGAUGAAAGGUGGCCUCUACAUGUAAGCUAGAACUGAAGGAGGGGAUUGCGUCUGAUUAGCUAGUUGGAGGGGUAACGGCCCACCAAGGCGAUGAUCAGUAGCCGGUCUGAGAGGAUGAACGGCCACAUUGGGACUGAGACACGGCCCAGACUCCUACGGGAGGCAGCAGUGGGGAAUCUUCCGCAAUGGACGAAAGUCUGACGGAGCAACGCCGCGUGAGUGAUGACGGCCUUCGGGUUGUAAAGCUCUGUUAAUCGGGACGAAAGGCCUUCUUGCGAAUAGUGAGAAGGAUUGACGGUACCGGAAUAGAAAGCCACGGCUAACUACGUG